CCCACAGCAAGAGAAGCGAGCCCUAGAUCGAGAGCGGGGUGGAAUCCAUUUGAUGAUCCGGGGUAUACCUCAUGGCGACUUUCGUCCCAGCGUCUGUUUCUCUCGGUGUUGUCGCAUCUUUCUCACUCCCCCCUCUCGAGCCAGUCAUCCUGCUUGUAGUUUCCUGAAGAGGGAAAUGAGAAGGUGGAAUCAUUUUCAGUAGAUUGGCGAGAAGAUCAUGAGAUUUGUACAAUCAUCCUUGCACAGCUGCCGACAACUCAUAGUCUUCUCUACGAGGAAGAUGGGGUUUCUUACGGGAGCUUCUAGUUUCUUCUCCGUUUCCUCACCUUCUGCUGCGGCAACUGCAUCGUCACGACUCGGCUAGUUUGGUGCGGCGGGUGACGGGGGAGGG
rnacentral:lncRNA from 1 species